rnacentral:rRNA from 1 species
AUUGAACGCUAGCGGGAUGCCUUACACAUGCAAGUCGAACGGAGUGGCGAACGGGGGAGUAAUGUAUCGGCACGUGCGCAGUAGCGGGGGAUAACUACGCGAAAGCGUAGCUAAUAACGCAUACUAUUGGAGCGGCCGAUAUCGGAGUAGCUAGUUGGUGUGGUAACGGCUCACCAAGGCGACGAUCCGUAGCUGGUUUGAGAGGACGACCAGCCACACUGGGACUGAGAACCUGCCCAUACUCCGACGGGAGGCAGCAGUGGGGAAUUUUGGACAAGGGGGGAAACCCUGAUCCAGCCAUCCCGCGUGUGCGAUGAAGGCCUUCGGGUUGUAAAGCACUUUCGGCAGGAAAGCGGUACCUGCAGAAUAAGCACCGGCUAACUACGUGCCAGCAGCCGCGGUAAUUC